rnacentral:lncRNA from 1 species
CUAAAUUGAGAGACUGUUUCCAUGGUCAAUAAAACUGAAAAAAGUAUAAUCUGAACAUAGUUCUGGAUUGUUAUUUAGAAGGUGUGCAAAAUUGUAAAUGACUCAUUCUCAUAAAAAAGCAGCUUUCUUUGGUUCUUAUAUGCCUCAGGCUCUCCACAGCCAAAAAAUGAAUUAGAUAAAUGAACAAGUUCUGGGUAAGAUUCAAGUACAUACUUCAUUGGAGUACUUCAGAAUAAAAGCAACACUGUCCUGGGCUAUGAAGGGAUACAAAAGUUAUAUAUGUUCCAACCCUCAAAGGAAAUAUUCUAUCCUUGCAUCAAUAAGGGAACCAGGAAUGGAACAAUGGAAAAUAUUGGAAGUUUAUAGUAAGUAGA